CUUUUACCACUAAACUAUACCCGC
rnacentral:tRNA from 4 species